AGAGAGAGAGAGAGAGAGCAGAAGGGUGUAACUUUCAAGAAACAAAUGAAACAAAUGAAGUUCACAGAGUUAGAGCUAUAAUUUUCACACAUAUGUGCUCACAUGUGCAUGAUUAGAUUAGAUCAGUCUUGUCAAAACCGCUAGGCACCCUUAAAGGGCUAGGCGCUUGCCUUAGUAGGGGUAAGCAUUCGGUUAACCGAAUCGAAACAAACUGAAUUUUCAACUAACCGAAUUAUUAAUCGACUUUAAAAUUAUUAACCGAAUCGAACCGAAAUCGAAAGAAAACCAAAAUUAACCAAAACUGAAAAUAUUCGGGCGAUUAUCAGUUAUAACCGAAUUAACCGAAAAAAAUA
rnacentral:misc_RNA from 1 species